GGGAGACCUCAUAAGCAUUGGGAGAUACACUCUUCCUACUGUGAUAAUAGCCAAGCCGCUAAAAUGAGGGGCGCUUCGUUUUUCAUUUCCCAGACGGGCAGAACAGAUGUUAUUUGAUGACCAUCUAAUGUACCUGCGAAGUCAUUACACGAAGAUACUGGGGCUGGCCCAAGACUUACAAAGUAGGUCCUCGAUUAGGAGCCAUUAGACAGGGAAGGAGACGGGGAGGGGCCCUGGCUGGCGCUGGGAAGCUGCAGGUGGAGGGGCGGCGGCGGGCGAAGCGGAAGGGGCGGGAAGAGGACGCUGCGGCCGCCUUGCAGACUCGGGCGGCAGCAGCAGCAAAUGCGGAGGAGCCGCCGGACGCCGUCCUGCCCUCCGCUUGCCCAGCGAUGGCAGAGCCUCCCGCAGGUCAUCUGAUGAGGCAGAGCACUGCAUCAGAGACAUCAUAGAGUCUCCCAUCCAGGAUUCUCAAACUGCCUUUAACCCAGCAGUUCAAAAUAAGGUAAGCUGUGCUUUCUUGUGGUCCCUUUUCAGUACUGGGAAUGUAUUUUUUUAAAGCUACAUUUAGUUAUUGUCUGCUUUCCCUCUCAGAAGCUGAAGACAGCACAUGUAGUGUCUGUCCUAACCUUCAUCGCAUUCAAAGUUGAAUGGGAAUUUGAAUUUGGGCUGGUUUGACACUUGAAUCACUAUCCUUGGUGUAGCUUAAGAUACAGUAAAAUAAAUAAAUUCAAAAUUAU
rnacentral:lncRNA from 11 species